rnacentral:lncRNA from 1 species
CAUCAUUAAAAUACGUAUAUAAUGGAUACAUAUUCUGUAUACUUACAUUUAUACGCACAUACAUACAGUUGGAGAGAGAGAGUUGCAAAAUGUGACUAGUCUCCUUUUUUACUAUCAAACUUUGUGGUAAAGUGAUAAAAAUUUUAGGUUUGAAUAGUGGGUAUGAAAUCGCCUUGUGAUAGAAAGCAUUUUACCCCUAGAGCAAAACUUGAGUCGCAAAUAUUUCGAAUUAAUUGAGCUUUAAGCAGAUACUGGACACCGAAAAGAAAAAAAAAGGACUAUUCUUCUCUAAAUAAUUUACAUACCAUUCUCCUCUUUUCUCAAUUUUGAAAAGUAAAUAUCGACACACAGUCGUGCACACACAUAGAGCAACAAAAAAAAGAAGACGAAUGGUGCCAAUUUUGCUGUGAUGUUUUUCAUCUAAUUUUGCAUUUUUAGUUUUAUAAUGUAUAUCUUUUUGUCUUUCCCAUUAAUAUUACAUCUAUAAUUCAUCUUCUUUAGUUGAAAUGACAAUAAUACACCUCAUACAUGACUGAUACAACCCCCCUCCUCCAACCCCCACCCCACCACUAGAGUUUAAUUCUUUCUUUAUCUCUUUUGUUCACACAAUAUAAUAAUAAAAAGAUUAUGUAUCUAUAAUUCAAUGUAUAUGUAUUUUUUUAAGAAAAAAUUACAAGGAAAUAUACAUUACUUUAUACCAUAACAAAAAAAAGCCCAUGUUUUUAAGUUUUACCCUAUCUAACCUAUAUUGUAUUUCGAAAGCAUUAGCAAAUUCAAAAUAUGUGUUCUUAUAAUCAUUGAUUCUAAAAGCUCUGAAGUUAAAUCUCACAACCAUUGCUUUCUCUCUCUCUUCUUCUUACAUCUUCUACAUAUGCUUCAAGGAGCCGUGUAUUUUCUGCUUCUCCCCAUGUUUGCAAUGUCAAAAUAUUAAAGAGUAGAAGUCCACCAUUGAAUGCCAUUCAAAGUUUUUCUUUCGAAAAUAGGAUUUUUUGAACUUUGUUAGUUGUUUGGAUUGAGUAUUGUUCCAAUUGAUUGAAAAUAUCAAAAGGAGUUCAAAAUUUAAAUUUGAAGUAAUUUGGAGUAGAUUUGAACAAGAUUUGAGUUAAAUUUAAGGAAAAACGCAAGCUAGAUGAUGAAGUUAGUUUUUUUUGUAUAAUUUUGUAUAAUCUUGUAUAAUAGUGUAUAUGAGUGUAUAAACACAUCUUAUACACUAUUAUAUACUUUUAUGCACUUUUAUACAAGUAUCUGCAGACGAACUUCUUCCGCGAUUUUCAUUUACAAUUCUUGUCCAAAACCAGUCUAAAUCUCCAUUAAAUGACUUCAAAUUUUAUCUACAACCUCCUUAUACUAUUUCUAACAAGUUUAAAUAACACUCACACUAAAUUUCUCACAAAAGCAAAUUCAAAAUUUAAAUCCAUAUAUUUUAGCUUGAUAAAAUCUAAUGUUUACCACCCAAAUAAAUUUGGUUUGUUGAACUAAUAUUUGAGUUACAUUCGCUUAUUCAAAAAUUAACUUAAAAGCCUGAACAAUUUUUAAAAAAAUUAACUCGUAAUUUUGAAUAUCUAUUGGAGUUGAAAGCCUAUUAUUUAUGGGCUACUUGAUUGUAAAUUAAAAUAUGGGUUAUAAAGUUGAAAAAUAGGCACCCCAAUUGUUAUUAUGUGAAAUUUUCUCUUUUUUAAUGUAUAUGUGUAUAUAAGUUUGAUUCAUAAGUGUAUAAUUAUUGUUGAUUUGCAUUUAAUGGCUUAUUGAUUGGUGGGUCCACAUUUUGGCAUUAUUUAUUGGUUGGUCCAUUCCCUUUUGUCUAUUUUUGACUCUAUAAUUCACUAGUUUUUGAGUUAUUUUCAAUCAUACGCAAACUGGGCCUUUUAUCUGUUCCGCCUUAUUUUAUUUUAUUUUAUUUAGGCGUUGCGACUGAAUUGGAGUUUUAACUUUUAUGCGAAUAUAUAUUAUAACUUUUACACUAUUAGAUCACGUAAAUAAUAAUAUAUAUGAUUUAAAAAAUAAGAUAAAAUAGAUUUUAUAGAAUUCCACUUAUAUAUUGUAAAAAAUUCCAUUUAUACUGCCAUAUAGUGGAAGUUAAAUUCAUAAUAUUACCAUUUCUUUCGCAUAGCGUUGUACGAAACCUGUAGUUUUUCUCUGUUUCUUUUUUCGGAAGAUAUUGAAAUCCUCUUUAUAGUCCUACUUCUGUUCUUUGAAUUCUUGUGGAUAAUAUUGCAGGGCCUUCAAAUUAUUAAUUUUUUGUUUUUUUCCCGGUAAAUACCUUCAUUUAUGUGUUAAACUCCAAGUUCAAUUUUUUUUAAAAUACUACCUCAAGUUAAUUAAGCUGAAGGUUGGACACAAAGUGGGCUCAAGCUAAUUAAGCUGAAGGUUGGACACAGAGUGGGCGUUUUGGCGUAAGAAUUAUAACAUUCCAAAACAAGCUGAUAAUUUUUUAAGUGAAAAUGAUAUUUAAUAUUUAUUAGAGUUGUUGAUGUUCUAAACGUCAAUAUCAUAUAAGAGCAUGGUGAUUUGUGUGGUACCAAUUUUCGAUCUAGAAGAACAUGGUUCUUCUAGGUGUUCUAACUACUAGUGUUUGCGAAAUUAAAAGUGGAGAAAAUAAAGAAUACUGAGAUUUCCCCUCUCAGCACCACUUGCUCCCCCUCUCUCUCUCUCUCUCGCUCUUUCUUUCUUUUUACCUCCACUUCUACUAGAUUCAACCCCUUUACAUCUUUGAUAGAACCAAUCAAGACAAACCUAUUUUCUACACUUUCAACCACAUUAGAGAAUACCACACAAGAACUUAUCUUACCAGGGGUUUCUUGAAUUUUAUCAAUGUCAGAAGACUCAUGUUCUUCACCUGCAAAAAUAAAAUCAUCAGAUUCAGAGCUUGAGUCAGAUUCUUGCGCGUGACUUUCCUUCCUCUGACUAGCCUUCAAUUUCUCACUUAGAGCUUUUCUUAAAGCUCCAGAAGCUAUAGUUUCUAGCUAGCAUUUUCUACCUACGAAACCUAGGUUUUGGGGUUUCACUAGGGCACUAAAUGAGGAUGUAUUGGAAAGGGAUACUGGUGGGGGAAUACCAGGGUUAUCUUGAGGAUUAGUCAUGGUGGGUUGUUUCUAGAGAAAAAUUUGGGAAUUUUGUAGAGAAGAGGAGUGAUCAGAACUUGAAAAGAGUUUUGAUGGGUAUGGACUAAAGAAGGAGAUGUGUGGUGUAUUUAAAGGUGAUUAGACUUAAAUGCAAUAAUGACAGCUUUUUCAGAGGUAAAUUAGAAGUCUAAUCAAGGUGUAAUUACAGUCUCAUUGUGAUUAUUAGGCAUCGCUAGAUUUUAGGGAAAAAAUCCCGAUUUUUAGAGUUCUAGGGGAACGAAACUGGUUCAAUGCUAAACGGAUAGAAAUUAUGGGAAUUUGAUGAAUGUAGGACCUCUGCUCAUGAUUGGAAAAAUAAUCUUUC